rnacentral:lncRNA from 1 species
AUAAUCUGAGUGGUUUCAAAAUGGCCUAACCCUACAUAGAAAUCUGCACCCGAACCGCCACCUCCCACCACUUAGCCUGCCGCACAGCCUCUUCCUCCCAACGACCAGGGCCCGCUAAGCCUAUCUCCGGCCCUCCCCAGGACCGGAUCGGGCCGAGCCACGCCGCCACACGCCCGUGCCCCGAUCUCCCCGAGCUCCAACCGCAGUAGCUUCAUCCCGUGCCGCCUUCGCCCUGUGCCGGAGCUCCACCAGUCGGAGCUGCCGUGUUGCCAGUCGUUGGACCCUCCCCUAGGACGACCUCGCGCCCAUGCCUCUUCCUUCCUCCCCAUGCAUUGCUCUCCCGCUCAAAGCUCUACAUGUCUUCCUCGCUGAUCCGUUGUCGUCCGUUGCAGCAAGCUCUGCCAGGUGAUGGAUCCGACCGAUCUCCUCCUGAUCCGGCCGUUCCUCCCCCUCCCCAACUGCGGGACAUCGCGAGAGUCAAGAGCAGCAGCAGCGUGAUGCACCCGCCGCCUGCUGUCGCUCGGCUCGAGCGCGAGCACGAGGCGACAAUGAUGCGUCAGCUAAGUGGGCCUCGGCCUACCCAGCCCCGCGCUCCCCAUGGCCUAGAUUUGCCCGACCUCCGCCGGUGUCGACCGGGGCAGCAGUCCAGACG